AUGCCAUUCAUUCCACCGCCUGACGGCAUGGCGCACCUGCAACACUUUCCCCUGGGAGCCUUGCCGCCAAUGGUGCCGGGCGCGGUGGUCGCCCCCUCCUCGUUCCCCCUUCCCUGUUUGCAAAUCCAGAUUAAAACUCGAACCAUUUAUUCUGCUAGAUAUGCUUGUACUGAAUUUAUUAUCUUAUACAUUGACAGAGCAUGGAAGAACCAAAAGGUAGUUGAUCAGCAGGAUGGCAAGAGGAAGACAAGAACCAAAUUAAAGUUUGUUGAUGUGCAUGUCUGUAUCUAUCAAGAUUCAGUGCUAUGUAGAAAUGUCCCUGAGAUUUGUUUCACUCAACGAGACCAAACAAUCAGGAACACAAGUAGGAUAGUUGAUGCUUUUUUCAUUUUUCUUCUGAUAAAAAGGAAUCUUCAUCUGCCAAGAAUACCGCCUACAAGCAUGUAUGCCUAA
rnacentral:rRNA from 1 species